UACCUCGCCUGUUUAUCAAAAACAUGUCCUCUUGAUUUUUUUAGGAGGUCAGGCCUGCCCAGUGAAAUUUUUAACGGCCGCGGUAUACUGACCGUGCAAAGGUAGCAUAAUCAUUAGUCUUUUAAUAGAGGGCUGGAAUGAAGGGUUUAACGAAAAAUUAACUGUCUCAAUUAUAAUUUUGAAUUUAGCUUUUAAGUUAAAAGGCUUAAUUUUUGUUGGAGGACGAGAAGACCCUAUAGAGCUUUACAUUUUUAUUUAUUAUAUUUUUUAAGUUUAAUAAUUAAUAUUAAUUUUUAGAAUUGUUUUGUUGGGGUGACAAGAAAUAUAUAUAUAACUUUUAUUAUUUUGUUUACAUUAAUUUAUGAAUUUUGGAUCCAUUAAAGAUGAUCAUUAGAAUAAGUUACCUUAGGGAUAACAGCGUAAUCUUCUUUCAGAGUUCAAAUUUACAAGAAGGCUUGCGACCUCGAUGUUGGAUUAAGAUUAUAAUUAGGUGUAGUAGCUUAGUGUAUAGGUCUGUUCGACCUUUAAAUUCUUACAGUUCGGGGG
rnacentral:rRNA from 1 species